CUAAAACAGGAUCUGAUCGUCAUUGAUAUGAAUUUUUAUUAUUUGAGUCUAGUGUAAAUUUUACAUUUAUUCAGUUCCUGUUUUCAGAAAGAUCACAAGCAUAAGUUCAACAGAAUUUAAUACUUUUCCAUUAUGACAGCUAGAAGAUUUUUUUUUAUUGAUAAUCCUGAUCGCGAACUACGUCUGAAAAUGUAUCGACAUUUGAAAUAAGAUGUAUUGAGUGUCGCAUUCUCUGUUGACAAUCGCCAGAUAGUUUCUGGUUCUCGAGACAAGACCAUCAAGUUGUGGAACACCUUGGCAGAAUGCAAGUACACGAUUCAAGACGAUGGACAUUCUGAUUGGG